rnacentral:rRNA from 1 species
AGCGAACGCUGGCGGCAGGCCUAACACAUGCAAGUCGAACGAAGUCUUCGGACUUAGUGGCGGACGGGUGAGUAACACGUGGGAACGCGCCUUUAGGUUCGGAAUAACUCAGGGAAACUUGUGCUAAUACCGAAUGUGCCCUUCGGGGGAAAGAUUUAUCGCCUUUAGAGCGGCCCGCGUCUGAUUAGCUAGUUGGUGAGGUAAAGGCUCACCAAGGCUACGAUCAGUAGCUGGUCUGAGAGGAUGACCAGCCACAUUGGGACUGAGACACGGCCCAAACUCCUACGGGAGGCAGCAGUGGGGAAUCAUGCGCAAUGGGCGAAAGCCUGACGCAGCCAUGCCGCGUGGAUGAUGAAGGUCUUAGGAUUGUAAAAUCCUUUCACCGGUGAAGAUAAUGACUGUAGCCGGAGAAGAAGCCCCGGCUAACUUCGUGCCAGCCGCCGCCGUAAGAC